GGGCGGCUAGCUCACUUGGUUAGAGCGUCACAUUGACAUUGUGAAGGUAACAGGUUCGAUUCCUGUGCCGCCCA
rnacentral:tRNA from 2 species